rnacentral:rRNA from 1 species
ACCCCACUGCUAUCGGGAUAGGACUAAGACAUGCUAGUCGCGUGCUUCAGCCAAAACGAGGCACGGCAAACAGCUCAGUAACACGUGGCUAAUCUGCCCUUAGGACAAGAAUACCCCCGGGAAACUGGGGCUAAUUCUCGAUAGGUGAAGAACUCUGGAAUGAGUCUUUGCCUAAAAGAGCUUACGUUAUGCUCGUAAGUUUCGCCUAAGGAUGAGGCCGCGACCGAUCAGGUUGUUGGUGAGGUAAUGGCUCACCAAGCCUUUUACCGGUGCGGGCCGUGAGAGCGGGAGCCCGGAGAUGGGCACUGAGACAAGGGCCCAGGCCCUACGGGGCGCAGCAGUCGCGAAAACUUUGCAAUACACGAAAGUGUGACAGGGCUAUCCCGAGUGCCAUCCGCUGAGGAAGGCUUUUACCCAGUCUAGAACGCUGGGGGAAUAAGGAGAGGGCAAGUCUGGUGUCAGCCGCCGCGGUAAUACCAGCUCUCCGAGUGGUGUGGAUGUUUAUUGGGCCUAAAGCAUCCGUAGCUGGCUAAGUAAGUCCUUUGUUAAAUCCACCGAAUUAAUCGUUGGAUCGCGGGGGAUACUGCUUGGCUAGGGGACGAGAGAGGCAGACGGUAUUUUUGGGGUAGGGGUGAAAUCCUAUAAUCCCAGGAAGACCACCAGUGGCGAAGGCUGUCUGCUAGAACGCGCCCGACGGUGAGGGAUGAAAGCUGGGGGAGCGAACCGGAUUAGAUACCCGGGUAGUCCCAGCUGUAAACGAUGCAGGCUAGGUGUUUGGACGGCCACGUGCCGUUCUAGUGCCGCAGGGAAGCUGUUAAGCCUGCCGCCUGGGGAGUACGAUCGCAAGAUUGAAACUUAAAGGAAU